GUGACCAAGGCGGAACAAUUCUACGAUCUCUCGCUGGACAUGCCCAGAAGGAGUCAUUCUAACCCGAUCGGGUCGAUCCAGACGGCGCUGGAGCAGUUCUUCAGAGAGGAGGGUAUAGAGUAUGCCUGCGGAGAAUGUGACUGCAAGCAGGCUAUAGUCACGCAUAAGUUCACUAAGCUACCAAGGGUAAUUAUCAUUCAUCUUAAGCGCUACAAAUUUGACGCUGACGCCUUCCAGUACUCCAAGCUCCGUCGUCACAUCCUCAUACCCAGGUAAUUGUCCGUCCACUACCACUGCACCAAGGAAACCCAGAGUCCAACCUCUCUCCCAAAGUCAUUAGUCAACGGGACGUCAUCUCCAAGGCCACAACAACUCAAUGCCGAGAGAACUCAAAGGUUGUCCCUCACAGCCCCGUCGACGAGGGAAUCUAAUUGGUCUGCAAGGAGCGAGUCGUUUAAGCCCUCACGCUUCAGUUUUACGCCCACUGCGCCCUCAAGGAAGAGGCUGAACUAUGACGACAACAGUAAACAACCAAGGCAAACCAUUCUCCUGGAAAGUAACACAGACUCAGACGGUGACGAGAACAAAAAAGUCUUAGAGAUGAGUAAAAAAGAGUCGGAGAGAAAAAAGCGAGAAGCAGAUGAGAGGUUGCGGCUUGAGGAAGAAGAAUUGAAAAAGGAAUCCUUGAGAAGAUGACACUCUGAGAUGUGCAGGAAGAUGUGUGGGGAGGCAGCCCACCUGCAAGGCCUCCCCUGAAAUGGCUGCUGAAGAGACUGCUGAAGAGACACGAGUACAUAAAGUGCCAUAGAAGCUUUACUGUAGUGAAAUAUUUGCCAUCAUCCUGCAAUACACACAUGGUCUAAAAGAGAAAUGACAAGACAAGCACAUAAGAAAAUGAGAUGAUGGAAAACCUCUUUAGUUGUUUGUGUUCUGCUCAGAUGUUGCCUAGAGACAAGGGAUGCUCAGUACUUUGAUAAUAUCUUCUCCACAUUGGGAGAGAUUGAAAGAGAACAGGUGAUGAGGAGGGUGACUCCAGGAAUGCGGCCCCAUUACAAUGUGAGCAUGAGGCGACCACGGACACAUGUUUAUGCCAGACUGCAACACUGUACUAAUGAAACUCAAUGCAUGCAUCAAGGACAUUCACCAAAGAGCCACUGCAAACAAGAUGAUGCUUAAUGCUGCAAAGCAUUGGUUCUUCAUUUUACAUCAAGAUUUUCACAACAGCCACUUCCAGUCAUUUCCAUCACAUUUGGUGAUGUGAAACCACUCAACGAAAGCCAGAAAUCUCUGUGCAGUCAUGGAUGAACAUCUACAUGUAUCACUGAAGGCCCAUGUCUCUACCCUAUAUGCCGCUCUUAAAUUACUGUCAUCCAAAGAUGUUUUAAAUUUAGAAAAUAAUGAUCCACACAAAUACACCUGGAAAUUGUUUGGUUUUCCUUGGCUGUCUUGAACUAACAUGAUCUGCCAUUUUGUUGAAACAGUAGUUUGACUCCCCAAAAUGGCAGACCAUCAUAGUUCACAAAGUAUUUGGAAAACCUCACAGUUUUUAGGAUCACUUCUUCCCUGACAUGUAAAAAAUUCUGAGAUUAAAUUUUGAAUAGUCUACCAACUAGUAGUUUCAAAACUAGCUAAACUUAAAAUGUGGAUUUCUCGAAAAAGACAUAUUUAGCUGCUUUUUUGGCCCUUCGUGAAAUUGCUGACAAUAUGAUUGAAAUUAGAAAAUAAUUUUCCACAAAAAUAUACCUGGAAAUCGUUUGUAUUUUCUUGUAACCCUCCUGAACUAUAACACAACCUGCCAUUUUUGUUGAAGCAAAUUCAUGACUCCUCAAAAUGGCAGACUAUUUUAGUGCACAGUAUAAGUAUUAUGGAAUUUUUGACUCCACAAAGUAAAAGGAAAACCACACAGUUUUGAGGCACCUUGGUGUUGAUAAUUACACACAAAU